CUGGUAGGUGGGUAGAAUAUACCAAGGGGAGCGAGAGAACCUUCGUUAAGGAAUUAGGCAAAUUUCCCCCGUACGUUCGCGAUAAGGGGGGCCUCUGGUGGUGAGCUUAAUCGCAAAGCUGCUGGAGGCCGCAGAGAAAUGGCUCUUCCAACUGUUUAACAAAAACACAGGUCUCUGCUAAGUCGAAAGACGAAGUAUAGGGGCUGACGCCUGCCCAGUGCUGGAAGGUUAAGGGGAGAGGUUAGGCGCAAGCCGAAGCUUUGAGCCGAAGCCCCAGUGAACGGCGGCCGUAACGAUAACGGUCCUAAGGUAGCGAAAUUCCUUGUCGGGUAGGUUCCGACCCGCACGAAUGGCGUAAUGAGAGGAGCACUGUCUCAACGAGGGACUCGGCGAACAUUGAAGGACGUGUGAAGAUACACGUGACCCGCAGCGGGACAAAAAGACCCCGUGAAGCUUUACUACAACUUGCCAUUGAGUUAGGGCUAAACCUGUGUAGUAUAGGUGGGAGGCUUUGAAGCUGGGACGCCAGUCUCGGUGGAGCCACCGUUGAAAUACCACCCUGGUUUAUUCUUGGCUCUAACCUGUCGCCGUUAUCCGGCAUGGGAACAGUGGCUGGUGGGUAGUUUGACUGGGGCGGUCGCCUCCGAAAGCGUAACAGAGGCGCCCAAAGGUUCCCUCAGGCUGAAUGGAAACCAGCCGUUGAGUGUAAAGGCACAAGGGAGCUUGACUGCAAGACCAACAAGUCGCGCAGGGACGAAAGUCGGGCUUAGUGAUCCCACGGUUCAGAGUGGAAUGGCCGUGGCUUACCGGAUAAAAGCUACUCCGGGGAUAACAGGGUAGUCUGGUCCAAGAGUUCAUAUCGACGACCAGGUUCGCCACCUCGAUGUCGGCUCAUCACAUCCUGGGGCUGGAUAAGGUCCCAAGGGUUGGGCUGUUCGCCCAUUAAAGUGGUACGUGAGCUGGGUUCAGACCGUCGUGAGACAGGUCGGUCUCUAUCCGCUGUGGGCGUAAGGGAUUUGAGAGAAGCUGCCCCUAGUACGAGAGGACCGGGGUGGACGGACCUCUAGUGUGCCAGUUGUUCUGCCAAGAGCAUUGCUGGGUAGCUACGUCCGGCAGAGAUAACCGCUGAAAGCAUCUAAGUGGGAAACUCGUCUCAAGAUUAGAUCCCUCAUCCGUAUGGAGUAAGACCGCUAGAAGACGACUAGUUUGAUAGGCGGCAGGUGUAAGCGCAGUAAUGUGUUCAGCUUAGCCGUACUAAUGGUCGAGGGCUUACGUUG
rnacentral:rRNA from 1 species